AUUGAACGCUGGCGGCAGGCUUAACACAUGCAAGUCGAACGAGUGGCGGACGGGUGAGUAAUGCUUGGGAAUCUAGCUUAUGGAGGGGGAUAACUACGGGAAACUGUAGCUAAUACCGCGUACCAUAGGAUGAGCCCAAGUGGGAUUAGGUAGUUGGUAAGGUAACGGCUCACCAAGCCGACGAUCUCUAGCUGGUCUGAGAGGAUGACCAGCCACAACGGGAAUGAGACCAGGCCCAGAAUCCUACGGGAGGCAGCAGUGGGGAAUAUUGCGCAAUGGGGGCAACCUGACGCAGCCAGGCCGAGUGUAUGAAGAAGGCCUUAGGGUUGUAAGGUUCUUUCGGUAGCGAGGCGUUAACUACAGAAGAAGCACCGGCUAACUCCGUGCCAGGAGCCGCGGUAAUAC
rnacentral:rRNA from 1 species